AGGGUUGGCUAUACUGCUGGUGGCGAACUCCAGGCUAAUAAUAUGAAGCUCAUGGAUACAAGUUAUCCUUGGAAGGAAAGACAAUUCUGAAUCCACUUUGUCUACGAAUAAGGAAGCUAUAAGUAAURCAACUAUGAAUCUCAUGGAGAGUUCAAUCCUAGCUCAGGAUGAAAGUUGGCAGCAUGCUUAACACAUGCAAGUCGAACGGGAAGUGGUGUUUCCAGUGGCGAACGGGUGAGUAAUGCGUAAGAACCUGCCCUGGGGCUGUCUCUUAUACACAUCUAGAUGUGUAUAAGAGACAGAUCCGGAAUGAUUGGGUGUAAAGCGUCUGUAGGUGGCUUUUCAAGUCCGCCGUCAAAUCCUAGGGCUCAACCCUGGACAGGCGGUGGAAACUACCAAGCUAGAGUACGGUAGGGGCAGAGGAAAUUUUUGGUUGAGCGGUGAAAUGCAUUGAGAUCGGAAAGAACACCAAUGGCGAAAGCACUUUGCUGGGCCGACACAAACACUGAGAGACGAAAGCUAGGGGAGCAAAUGGGAUUAGAGACCCCAGUAGUUCUAGCCAUAAACAAUGGAUACUAGGUGUUGUGCGACUCAACCCAUGCAGUGCUGUAGCUAACACGUUAAGUAUCCUACUUGGGGAGUACAUUCGCAAGAAUGAAAAUCAAAGGAAUUGACGGGGGCCCACACAAGUGGUGGAGCACGUGGUUUAAUUCGAUGCAAAGCGAAGAACCUUACCAGGGCUUGACAUGCCAUGAAUCCUCUUGAAAGAGAGGGGUGCCCUCGGGAAUGCGGACAUAGGUGGUGCAUGGCUGUCGUCAGCUCGUGUCAUAAGUUGUUGGGUUAAGUCUUGCAACGAGCGCAACCCUCGUGUUUAGUUGCCACUAUGAGUUUGGAACCCUGAACAGACCGCCGGUGUUAAGCCGGAGGAAGGAGAGGAUGAGGCCAAGUCAUCAUGCCCCUUAUUCCCUAGGCGACACACGUGCUACAAUGGGUGGGACAAAGGGUCGCGAUCUCACGAGGGUGAGCUAAAUCCAAAAACCCAUCCUCAGAUUGGAUUGCAGGCUGCAACUCGCCUGCAUGAGGCAGGAAUCGCUAGUAAUCGCCGAUCAACCAUACGGUGGUGAAUCCAUUCCCGGGCCUUGUACACACCACCCGUCACACUAUAGGAGCUAGCCAAGUUUGAAGUCAUUACCCUUAACCGUAAGGAGGGGGAUGCCUAAGGCUAGGCUUACGACUGGAGUGAAGUCGUAAUAAGGUAGCUAUACUAGAAGGUGCGGCUA
rnacentral:rRNA from 1 species